AGUAUACCGCUUCCCUUCGGGCUGGCCAGUCCUCAAGUAGAGACACUGAGGUAGGGCAAGCGCAUCUACGGGGAAGAGCGCUGCCUCGGGCGUUAAUGGGAGAGAGAGCUGAGGCAGAAGGGGGAUCGGAACUCCCGCUCCAGAAGCGUGAAGGUGGGGGUGUAUGAGAGCACCCACCCAGAACCUUGCAGGAAAAAGUUGCUUUGCACAUGGGUGACCCCGCAGGCCACAUCAUCCACACAUCCAUACGCCGCCCCGUAGGUAAGGGGUCCGGGCCUCCAGGACAGUGAACCGGGCAAACAUGGCUUUCCGGACAGCAUCUUUGUAGGAAUCGGCGCCCGACAAACCAUAUGCGCUGCCUUUGGCUCCUAGGCCAGCUCCCUUUAGCCGAACUUGAGCCUGGGAAAGCACAGAGACUGUCAGCUGGGAGGUAGGGUAUGGGCUGCUCCACCUCUCACCAUGCCCACUCCUUACCCAGCAGGACCACCCACCAGGAGACAGAAGAGAGAAAACUGUAUAUGAAGACAAGGAUUUCUCCAGAAGAGACCAGGAGCAAGUAUAAGGA
ensembl:lncRNA SEMA3F-AS1 SEMA3F antisense RNA 1